rnacentral:piRNA from 1 species
UAACCGAAUUCUGAGAAACAUGUUUGUGCUA